UAUUUUUUGAGCAUUUUAAAAUUCAGAUUCCCUUAACAUUUCUUAAAAACACUAAUUUCAGAUUAUACAGUUUCCCAGUCCUGAAUUAUACAUUUUACUACUAUGUGAAGCUGGAUGCCCUUCGGAGAAAUUGGCAAAGGAUAAUGACAUGUAAAAUAGCGUUCAUUUCUCAUUUCCCAACCAUGAAGAGUAAAAUCCACAGUAUAAACAUAAAAUAUUCUCCUCAGAGUUCAUGUCUGCAGAACUGGCUUAUUUGCACAGAAAAUUUCAUGUUUAAUCAAGAAGAUCUUUAACCUGAAAGGAGACCAUGACAUGCUUUAAAAGAGUAAAGAAUCUUCUGUUUCUAUCUUCCUUUCUUUACAAAAAUAAUUGGGUUUUGAUUGAAGUUUGUUAUUACUGAAUAUGUCUUUUUUGGAAGAAGAUCAUUAAGUUUGAAUUGCACAUGUGCUAUAUUUUCAGAAUUCUCAGAUAAGGACUUAAUAUGGGUUUGGAUUGUAAUCUGAAUUGUAAUCACCACAUGUCAAGGGAGGGACCUGGUGGGAGGUAAUUGGAUCACGGGGGUUGUUUCCCCCAUGCUGUUCUAGGAUAUGGAGUAAGUUCUCAUGAUGUGUCUGAUGCUUCCCUCUUUCUUCUCUCUCCUGCCACCAUAAGAAGAUUGCCUUGCGGUUCCCCUUCACCUUUUGCCAUGAUUGUAAGUUUCCUGAGGCCUCCUCAGCCAUGCAGAACUGUGAGUCAAGAGGUAUUACUGAAGUGAGCUUCCAGUAUCCAGAUCCAAAGAGGUGGAUGGUGAAAGUAACCGGAACUAAGAUGGGGCCUGGAUGUCUUGCCCUGACUGUGUGAAACUGCUGGUCUUAAGCGAUCCUCUCAUCCUGACCUCCCAAAGCAUUGGGAUUACAGGCUCCUCUUCUGCAAGUCUGCUGCAGUUUGCCGGGGGUUCAUUCCAGACCCUGUUCACCUGGGUAUCACGAGUGGAAACUGCAGAACAGCAAACAUUGCCAUCUGCUUCUUCUGCAGAAGCUUGUCCCAGAAGGGCACAGACCUGAUGCCAGCUGGAGCUCUCCUGUAUGAGCCUGAAGUCAUCACAGCAGGCAUUUAAGAAGGAAACCGUGGACAAAGUGGAACCUGACAGUCUGAGCUAGAACCCAGGAGGAAAAACUGGGACUUUCUGGAUGAGUUGGCUUAUGAAGAUGAACUGGAACCCAUGUCCACCUCUUACUAAGAAGUAACCCUUGAUAACAUGGGUAUCCUGUAGAAGGCAGUCCCCUUUUUUAUUCACCUGGCCCAAGAGAUGCUGAAGAAGGAGCUACAGCAGGAACAGGGGAUUAUACAGGAAUGAAACUGAAUGUUGCCACCAAGGAAGAAGAGAUCUCUAGACAUGGAGCAGCCGUCUUGUGGAUAUGAGGGAAGAGCCAAAUAGACUCCAAAUCGGUUAACACAGAGAACUAAAACUAUGGAGCUACUGAAUGAACCAGCUAUGGAAUUGCCUGUGUGUGGACAUUCAGAUGGACAUACCAGAUAAAAUUCUGGACUGAAAGAACUAUGAAGCUCAAAGAGUUUCAAGAUUCAAAGUCUUCCAGGUCAAUAUUCAAACACAGAGGUUUUCCAGGGACUAAUAAAGCUAUCUUGAUCGGCUCUUCUACAAACUUGUCCUAUAUCUCUUAUGUGGUUUGGGAAUGAUGUCAAGUUCAACACAUUCUGGAAAGUAGCCUCCUUAAAUUGACAGGAAUCGGUGGUCUAAUUACUCUGAAAGGUAAUCUAGUAUAACAUUGUUAAGCUCAUUUAGAUGAUUCAAGUGGCUAAUUUUGCUAGAGGAGAUUUUCACUUCUGCUUAGUCUCCAACAGUGAAAUGAUCCAAGAUGGAUCUUGUCUUUUUUUCUGUUGACUCAGUAACAUCCUUUGAUGAUUUCACGUAGUUUGAGAAGAGUAAGUGUUUAAUGAUGAAGACAUUAUAUUUAAAAAUUAACUGACGUUUGCCAAUUAGUGUUCUGGGCUUUCACACCUUUAAUCUGGUCUGUCCCUUCCCAUCUGAACUCAUUCCUCCACUGACUUUCCAUUAGACAGCAAGCAGACCUGACUGCAUGUGGGACAUAGUGUGGCAGGGAAAACUGAACUGGAUGCCAGGCAUCCUGAAUGCUGAUUUCUGUUCUGCUACUUGUAAGCAGGCCAUUUGAAUACCUUGGACCUCUGUUUCCUAAGGGAAGACAUUUCUGUUCUUUUACGUUGGCUAAAUUGGUUCUUUCAUGAUAAGGCCUUCAAUAUUCUCUAAGGGGGAAGGCUCACAUAUUUGCUAGAUGAGCAUGUACUCAGAUGGGCAAAAUCUUGUUGGUCUUAAUUUACUACAACCAAUCUGAUUAUCCUCAUUAACAGUUACUUUAUAAGUGGUCAGGGAAACCUAAAUUGCAACCUGAAGUUGAUAGAAUCACAGUCCCUUCCAGUUUAGAUAAUAAUUUUGGAUGUAUCAGUCUUCUUUGUACAAGUGCUCAGGAGUUUAGACUUUCUUCUCCUCUACCCUUCCUCUCCACAUAUGUGCAGGAAGGGAGAACCUCCAUAGCAGUGUUCCCUGAUCUACAAGGUGUCUUUUGAAUCUUGCUGGUCUCUGCUAAGCAGGGACUUUCUGUUUUGGUCCCUGAACCCACAACUAGUGAAGCAGGACUGGCCCUAUCUGUUGUGUGGUUAGCAUUCUAGUACCCAUUACUGAAGUCCUUGGACUCUACUAUUUGCCACUUAUGGUGACAUUUUUAAAUAUUGUGCCUUUUUAAGUCUGACUCCCCUGGAGGCCUCUUCCUGUUCAUGUUUUCUGUGCUGUGUUCUGGGCACAUAGAAUCUUAUAUCACCAAUUACUCUGCCACUUAUUCUAUGAAGAUCAUGAUGAGCCCUGCAGAUAAUCUGUCUAGUCACCUCUCCUAACCAAACCUAAACAUGACUACUUGAAAUUUCUCUAAAAUGUACCACAAAAAGCAACAACUGUUCCCCAAAUGGCAUUGAGUUCCCUCCUCACUGGGCUGGUAUUUCUUUUGCAUUGUUCCCUCUGUCUACCUACCAUAUUUCUACACCAAAAGGAAGAGAGUGAGAAUGGGUCUGACUCUCCUCUCUUCUUUCCAUUGAGUGUUCCACAUUUUCUUUCUAUUGAGACUUCUUCCCUAGAUAGACCUUUUCUGCACUUUGACAAUCACUGGCCAUUACAUUAUGUCUUUGGAUUUAAUCUCAAGUCUGAAGAAACAGUGUGGGCAUGGAGUGUGAUGAGCUAUAACUGUUACUUUGAGGAUAAUAAUGCAAAUUUAUUUUAUAAAAGAGAAAAAAGGAAGAAGCAGCAGAAGGAGAUGGAGGAGAAGAGGGAGGAAGGGGAGGAAAAAGAAUAUUUGAUGUGUGAAGUCAUACCAAUUUCCUGUUAUACCAAGGAAGACUGUAUAUUAAAAUGGAAGCUGCUAUUUAUAUUUAGCCAUGAAUCAAUUUCCCCAUGAAGUUUCAAGCAGUGAAUAGGAGCCUUUUGAAGGAAUGUAUACUUAGCAUGCAUACACAUGUAAAUAUGCACACACUGUUAAUUGUUUUAUCUUUCUUUCCUUCAUAUUCAUCAGUUAUGUUCUUCAUGAUAAAACUUUACUCUUUAGAAAAUAAGGACAGCAACAACAAAAUUCUUCUGUGGAACUAUACUGACAGCAUGUUGAGCAAACCAGUUAUGAGAGAUUCUAUUGCCUAUAUGCUUUUGCAGAAUUCUGCCUCUUCUAAUAAAGAUGUAAAGUCUGUUUUUCAUGCCCUUGCA